rfam:Anolis carolinensis chromosome 1, whole genome shotgun sequence.
GGUUGGUAAUGACAGUAUGUAUGAAUUUCCAAAGUUACAUGACUCUAAGUAUGACUUGGCUGAUCUGACUGGCUGGGCGGGUGUCCCCUUCCUCCCUUGCCGCUCCGUGUGCGUCCCUCCCGGGGCUGCGAGCUCGGUGGAGGAGGACCACAUCCCAGGUGUAGAGGGAGAGUGCCGAGGUCUCCGGUCUUCUGUCCCGGGUGUACGAUGGCUGUGCUCCCCUGCUAGAACCUCCAAACAAGCUCAAGGUCCAUUUGUAGGAACAGAGAUUCACAUUUUGCCAAGAUCUUGCCGAGCUUGCAGUGUUUGCUUGUGGUA